CCUACGGGAGGCUGCAGUGGGGGAUAUUGGACAAUGGGGGGAACCCUGAUCCAGCGACGCCGCGUGAGUGAAGAAGUAUUUCGGUAUUUAAAGCUCUUUCAGCAGGGAAGAAAUAAAUGACGGUACCUGACCAAGCAGCCCCUGCUAACUACGUGCCAGCCGCCGCGGUAAGACGUAGGGGGAAAGCGUUAUCCGGAAUUACUGGGUGUAAAGGGAGCGUAGACGGUUAAGUAAGGCUGUAGAGAAAGGCCGGGGCCCAACCCCGGGACUGCAGUGGAUACUAUUGAACUUGAGUGCAGGAGAGGUAAGCGGAAUUCCUAGUGUAGCGGUGAAAUGCGUAGAUAUUAGGAGGAACACCAGUGGCGAAGGCGGCUUACUGGACUGUAACUGACGUUGAGGCACGAAAGCGUGGGGAGCAAACAGGAUUAGAUACCCGAGUAGUC
rnacentral:rRNA from 1 species